CGCACGGCGGCCAGCACCCCAGGCCCCGAGCUCCCGGGCCCGGCCGGUGGCGCUGCGCAAGGUCCGCGGCCGGGGUCUGGCGCGGUUCACAGAAUGGAAAGGCUGUCAGGGAGUCCUCGGCUCGGGUGGCACGCACGGCCGCUCGGCGACGGCCCGAUGCCGGGCAGAAGGCGGUGCCGGUGCGGAGGGGGAGGCAAAGUGCGCCCACCGCCUGCAGCUGCUGGCGCGGGCAGCGAGAUGAGAAAACUGAAACAGCAAGUGACAGAAACAGCAAGAACUUGCACAUCCUUGACUCCGAAACUUGUUCUCACAUCCCCAGGUCCUAGGUAGACAUAUAUUUUGGAUGGUCUCCAUUCAACCCAUUACAAAGCCCAACAUGGGGAGAAGAGGCUGAAACGUGAGUCUUCAGAUAAAAUGAUGAUUUCUUACCCAAACUACAAAGCACCUUCUCCUUAUCUCUUCAGACUCAAGAGGAGGCAAGCUAGAAACCCACGAAAUCCAUCUCUCAGUAGCCAGCUGAGUAAAUGCAAGAAAGCCCAUAAUUGCAAAUAAUUUAAAAGGUCAUGCAUACCAAACACAACCACAACAACGACAAAGUGCCCGUCUAUGGAUGAUCAAUAGAAUUCUACGGUUUCUAUAUCUGGAAUUAUGUUCUGGACUUCAGGAAACGGCUGUGCUUAUCUUAUUGUUUAAAUAAAGGAAAAAGAGAUAAAAUGUUACCACAAAGUUGAGUGCGACAAUGGGUAAAAGAAUUAAAGGAAUGUGUGUACUGAAAUACUGCAUGUUUUCAAGAAACGCUUAGAUUGUUGAUAGACGUACAACAUAACUUUCAAACUUGGGGACUGCUUGCUUUGAAAAAUAAAAAAAUCAAACUUUAAAUUUUUUUGAUUAUUAGCAGGGCAGAAAUAAUUUUAGUAGGACAGAUUUGCAGAGCACUCUUAUAACUUUGGAAAAGCUAAGAGGAUUUUACUCAAAUUUCCAUUUUGAAAUCUACCUUUAGGUGAAUAUCACAGGUGAAGCAUUUCUGUUAGAUAUAAUAAACCCUCAAUUAAUCAGAGUGCCUCAGGAAGGAGCUGUUCCCCUAAAUUAAAUUUUCAUUUCAGUUAAGGAUUAACUAGAAAGCCCCUUUAGCUCGAACACAAGUUAAAAAAAAUUUUUUUAAUACUGCAAGCUGAUACCUCAUCUUAGAAAGUGCAAUACAGUAAAUGAAAUCUGUUUUGUUUUGUUUUGUUUUGUUUUGUUUUUAAUGUUUGGGUGCCUUAUAAGGCCUCACAGCCAUCAUUCUGAACAUGCAUCCUCCUUUUACAGGAUUAAGCUUGUAGAGGAUUGUAUGGAAUCUGCACUAAGUCGGAGCCAUGUGCUACAAUUACUUUCAGAAAACAUAAUAAAAUUCACUUCUUUUCCUGCAUCUGCUACUUUCUUCCAAUAGUGGAGUGUACUGAGUAGGGAUAUUUCCAGUUAAUAAG